rnacentral:rRNA from 1 species
AAUCCGCUUCAAAGGUGGGAGUGCUCUCCAGAUAACCGGCGCACAGGUGCUGCAUGGCUGUCGUCCUCUCGUGUCGUGAGAUGUUGGGUUAAGUCCCGCAACGAGCGCAACCCUUGUCCUUAGUUGCUACGCAAGAGCACUCUAAGGAGACUGCCGGUGACAAACCGGAGGAAGGUGGGGAUGACGUCAAGUCCUCAUGGCCCUUAUGGGUAGGGCUUCACACGUCAUACAAUGGUCGGAACAGAGGGUUGCCAACCCGCGAGGGGGAGCUAAUCCCAGAAAACCGAUCGUAGUCCGGAUUGCACUCUGCAACUCGAGUGCAUGAAGCUGGAAUCGCUAGUAAUCGCGGAUCAACAUGCCGCGGUGAAUACGUUCCCGGGUCUUGUACACACCG